rnacentral:rRNA from 1 species
AGUGGGGAAUCUUGCACAAUGGGCGAAAGCCUGAUGCAGCCAUGCCGCGUGAGUGAGGAAGGCCCUAGGGUUGUAAAACUCUUUCAGUGGGGAAGAUAAUGACGGUACCCACAGAAGAAGCUCCGGCUAACUCCGUGCCAGCAGCCGCGGUAAUACGGAGGGAGCUAGCGUUGUUCGGAAUUACUGGGCGUAAAGCGCACGUAGGCGGACUGAUCAGUUGGGGGUGAAAGCCCAGGGCUCAACCCUGGAACUGCCUUCAAUACUGUCAGUCUUGAGUCCGAGAGAGGUGAGUGGAAUUUCCAGUGUAGAGGUGAAAUUCGUAGAUAUUGGAAAGAACACCAGUGGCGAAGGCGGCUCACUGGCUCGGUACGGACGCUGAGGUGCGGAAGUGUGGGGAGCAAACAGGAUUAGAUACCCUGGUAGUCCACACCGUAAACGAUGGAUGCUAGUUGUCGGGCAGCAUACUGUUCGGUGACGCAGCUAACGCAUUAAGCAUCCCGCCUGGGGAGUACGGUCGCAAGAUUA